UACGUAGGGAGCGAGCGUUGUCCGGAUUCAUUGGGCGUAAAGAGCUCGUAGGCGGCUUGAUAAGUCGGAUGUGAAACCUCCAGGCUCAACCUGGAGUCGCCAUCCGAUACUGUCAUGGCUAGAGUCCGGUAGGGGCCCACGGAAUUCCUGGUGUAGCGGUGAAAUGCGCAGAUAUCAGGAGGAACACCGGUGGCGAAGGCGGGUCUCUGGGCCGAUACUGACGCUGAGGAGCGAAAGCGUGGGGAGCGAACAGG
rnacentral:rRNA from 1 species